UUACGGCCAUACCAUGCUGAAUAUACCGGUUCUCGUUAGAUCACCGAAAAGCAUCAUUGGGCGCGGUCAGUAAUUUGGGUGACGACCACCUGGGAACACUGCGU